CCUACGGGCGGCAGCAGUGAGGAAUAUUGGUCAAUGGACGAGAGUCUGAACCAGCCAAGUAGCGUGAAGGAUGACUGCCCUAUGGGUUGUAAACUUCUUUUAUAUGGGAAUAAAAUGUUCCACGUGUGGGAUUUUGUAUGUACCAUAUGAAUAAGGAUAGGCUAACUCCGUGCCAGCAGCCACGGUAAUACGGAGGAUCCGAGCGUUAUACGGAUUUAUUGGGUUUAAAGGGAGCGUAGGUGGAUUGUUAAGUCAGUUGUGAAAGUUUGCGGCUCAACCGUAAAAUUGCAGUUGAAACUGGCAGUCUUGAGUACAGUAGAGGUGGGCGGAAUUCGUGGUGUAGCGGUGAAAUGCUUAGAUAUCACGAAGAACUCCGAUUGCGAAGGCAGUUCACUGGACUGCAACUGACACUGAGGCUCGAAAGUGUGGGUAUCAAACAGGAUUAGAUACCCCUGUAGUC
rnacentral:rRNA from 1 species